rnacentral:rRNA from 1 species
GGAUCCAGACUUUGAUUCUGGCUCAGGAUGAACGCUAGCUACAGGCUUAACACAUGCAAGUCGAGGGGCAGCGGGAUUGAAGCUUGCUUCAAUUGCCGGCGACCGGCGCACGGGUGAGUAACGCGUAUCCAACCUUCCGUACACUCAGGGAUAGCCUUUCGAAAGAAAGAUUAAUACCUGAUAGUAUCUUAAGCACACAUGUAAUUAAGAUUAAAGAUUUAUCGGUGUACGAUGGGGAUGCGUUCCAUUAGGUAGUAGGCGGGGUAACGGCCCACCUAGCCAACGAUGGAUAGGGGUUCUGAGAGGAAGGUCCCCCACAUUGGAACUGAGACACGGUCCAAACUCCUACGGGAGGCAGCAGUGAGGAAUAUUGGUCAAUGGACGAGAGUCUGAACCAGCCAAGUAGCGUGAAGGAUGAAGGUCCUACGGAUUGUAAACUUCUUUUAUAAGGGAAUAAACCCUCCCACGUGUGGGAGCUUGUAUGUACCUUAUGAAUAAGCAUCGGCUAACUCCGUGCCAGCAGCCGCGGUAAUACGGAGGAUGCGAGCGUUAUCCGGAUUUAUUGGGUUUAAAGGGAGCGCAGACGGGUCGUUAAGUCAGCUGUGAAAGUUUGGGGCUCAACCUUAAAAUUGCAGUUGAUACUGGCGUCCUUGAGUGCGGUUGAGGUGUGCGGAAUUCGUGGUGUAGCGGUGAAAUGCUUAGAUAUCACGAAGAACUCCGAUUGCGGAGGCAGCACACUAAUCCGUAACUGACGUUCAUGCUCGAAAGUGUGGGUAUCAAACAGGAUUAGAUACCCUGGUAGUCCACACGGUAAACGAUGGAUACUCGCUGUUGGCGAUAUACUGUCAGCGGCUUAGCGAAAGCGUUAAGUAUCCCACCUGGGGAGUACGCCGGCAACGGUGCAACUCAAAGGAAUUGACGG